rnacentral:rRNA from 1 species
GGAAAGGUGAAAAGAACCCCGGGAGGGGAGUGAAAUAGAACAUGAAACCCUAUGUUUACAAGCAGACAAAGCACUUUAUAUGUGCGAUGUCGUACUUUUUGUAGAACGGUCCAGCGAGUUAUUGUGUAUGGCGAGGUUAAGUAUUACGUAAGGUACGGAGCCGAAGCGAAAGCGAGUCUGAAAAGGGCGAUAUAAGUCAUGCAUAAUAGACCCGAAACUGAGUGACCUAUCCAUGAGCAGGAUGAAGCUAGAGUAAAAUCUAGUGGAGGUCCGAACUGAUUGUCGUUAAAAAGGCACCGGAUGACUUGUGGAUAGCGGAGAAAUUCCAAUCGAACUCAGAGAUAGCUGGUUCUCCUCGAAAUAGCUUUAGGGCUAGCCUCGUGUAGUAAUGUAUAUGGGGGUAGAGCACUGACUGAGGUAGGGGCCUAACCAGGUUACCAAACUCUAUCAAACUCCGAAUACCAUAUGUAAAUACUCAGGAGUCAGACUGCGGGAGCUAAGUUCCGUGGUCAAAAGGAAAACAGUCCAGAUCGUCAAUUAAGGUCCCAAAGAUAUAGCUAAGUGGAAAACGAUGUGAUUUUGCAUAAACAACCAGGAUGUUGGCUCAGAAGCAGCCAUUCAUUCAAAGAGUGCGUAAUAGCUCACUGGUCGAGUGAAGUUGCGCGGAAAAUUACCGGGGCUAAGCUAUACACCGAAAUUGCGGAUUUACAUUUGAAAGAUAAUGUAAGUGGUAGAGGAGCAUUCUGUUGUAGGAUGAAGCAUGACCGUAAGGACAUGUGGACGAAGCAGAAGAGAGAAUGCUGGAAUAAGUAGCGAGAGGAUGGUGAGAAUCCAUCCCGUCGAAAAUCUAAGGUUUCCCAGGGAAGGUUCGUCCGCCUGGGGUAAGUCGGGACCUAAGGAGAGGCCGAAAGGCGUAUCUGAUGGAUAGCAGGUUGAAAUUCCUGCACUACGAAUAUACUUAAAAGAUUCAAGGGACGCAGAAGUGGAAGAUAACCAAGUAAGAGGAAAAGCUUGGCUCGCAAGAGGGAGUGAAAAUUAAAAGUAACGAAGUAUCAAGAAGCACGCUGACGAGAAAAGCUUGAAGAUAUUGUAUAUAAGUACCCGUACCGCAAACCGACACAGGUAGAUGAGGAGAGAAUCCUAAGACGAGCGGGAGAAGCAUUGUUAAGGAACUCGGCAAAUUAACCCCGUAACUUCGGAAUAAGGGGUGCUGAUGUAACAGUCAGUCGCAGAGAAAAGGCCCAAGCAACUGUUUAACAAAAACAUAGGUUUCUGCUAAAUCGAAAGAUGAAGUAUAGGAGCUGACGCCUGCCCAGUGCUGGAAGGUUAAGAGAAAGAGUUAGGGUUAAACCGAAGCUUAGAACUGAAGCCCCAGUGAACGGCGGCCGUAACUAUAACGGUCCUAAGGUAGCGAAAUUCCUUGUCAGGUAAGUUCUGACCCGCACGAAAGGCGUAAUGAUUUGGGCGCUGUCUCGACAAUGUCCCCGGCGAAAUUGUAGUACUAGUGAAGAUGCUAGUUACCUGCGAUAAGACAGAAAGACCCCAUGGAGCUUUACUGCAGUUUGAUACUGGGUUUCGAUGAUUUAUGUACAGGAUAGUUGGGAGACUAUGAAAGAGAGGCGUCAGCUUCUCCGGAGUCGUUGUUGGGAUACCAACCUUAAGUUAUUGAAAUUCUAACUUGUAAUCGUAAACCGGUUAGAGGACAAUGUCAGACGGGCAGUUUGACUGGGGCGGUCGCCUCCUAAAGAGUAACG